rnacentral:rRNA from 1 species
AUACCCGCUGAACUUAAGCAUAUCAAUAAGCGGAGGAAAAGAAACCAACAGGGAUUGCCUCAGUAACGGCGAGUGAAGCGGCAAUAGCUCAAAUUUGAAAUCUGGCUCUCGGGUCCGAAUUGUAAUUUGUAGAGGAUGUUUCGGCUUACGCUCCGGUCUAAGUUCCUUGGAACAGGACGUCACAGAGGGUGAGAAUCCCGUUUGUGGCCGGCGCUUCCGCCAUGUGAAACUCCUUCGACGAGUCGAGUUGUUUGGGAAUGCAGCUCUAAAUGGGAGGUAAAUUUCUUCUAAAGCUAAAUACCGGCCAGAGACCGAUAGCGCACAAGUAGAGUGAUCGAAAGAUGAAAAGCACUUUGGAAAGAGAGUUAAAAAGUACGUGAAAUUGUUGAAAGGGAAGCGCUUGCGACCAGACUUGCCCGCGGAUGCUCAACCGGUCCUUCGGCCGGUGCACUCUUCCGCGGUCAGGCCAGCAUCAGUUCGGGCGGUCGGAUAAAGGCCUCGGGAAUGUGGCUCUCUUCGGGGAGUGUUAUAGCCCUUGGUGCAAUACGGCCCGCCUGGACUGAGGCCCGCGCUUCGGCUAGGAUGCUGGCGUAAUGGUCGUAAGCGGCCCGUCUUG